AAAGGGGUGCGUUUAUGUUCGCAUAAAUUGCUGAGAAUACACCCUUAUAACUUGAUCGGGGUAAUGCCCGCGUAAGGAAUGAA
rnacentral:ncRNA from 1 species